rnacentral:misc_RNA from 1 species
AGCAAUAGUGCAUAAAGAUGCCAAGAAAAACGACUUUCUCCCACAAAAGAUUAGAAGAGAAGGUAUUUUUUUGAAAAUGGAAGCAAUCUUCUACAGCAUAAAUUUGUUAAAUAAAAAACUAUAAGAAUGACCACAUUAAAACUAUGUAAACUGUGAAUGACUAACAUUGUGUCUGUGUGUGUUAAUAUAUAAAUAGUAAAAUAAAUUUGUUUAACCACCUAGAGGAUCAAAGCCAGCAUUAAAACAAUAUGAUAUAUUCAUUAUGGAUAUCUUUAGAAAUCAAAUGUUAGGGUAGAAACCCUAACUGACAAUUAUGGAAAAGAAUAGAAUAAA